rnacentral:rRNA from 1 species
UACGUAGGGGGCUAGCGUUGUCCGGAAUGACUGGGCGUAAAGGGCGUGUAGGCGGUCUGAUAAGUCUGGAGUGAAAGUCCCGGAUUCAAUUUGGGAAUUGCUUUGGAUACUGUCGGACUUGAGUGCGGAAGAGGUAAGUGGAAUUCCCAGUGUAGCGGUGAAAUGCGUAGAGAUUGGGAGGAACACCAGUGGCGAAGGCGACUUACUGGGCCGUAACUGACGCUCGGGCACGAAAGCGUGGGGAUCGAAC